ACCGCUGUCGCCAAGUGGUAAGGCACAGGACUUUGACUCCUGGAUUUCGUUGGUUCGAAUCCAACCAGCGGUG
rnacentral:tRNA from 2 species